rnacentral:rRNA from 1 species
GACGAACGCUGGCGGCGUGCCUAAUACAUGCAAGUAGAACGCUGAAGGAAGGAGCUUGCUCUUUCCGGAUGAGUUGCGAACGGGUGAGUAACGCGUAGGUAACCUGCCUGGUAGCGGGGGAUAACUAUUGGAAACGAUAGCUAAUACCGCAUAACAGUAGAUAUUGCAUGAUAUCUGCUUGAAAGGUGCAAUUGCACCACUACCAGAUGGACCUGCGUUGUAUUAGCUAGUUGGUGAGGUAACGGCUCACCAAGGCGACGAUACAUAGCCGACCUGAGAGGGUGAUCGGCCACACUGGGACUGAGACACGGCCCAGACUCCUACGGGAGGCAGCAGUAGGGAAUCUUCGGCAAUGGACGGAAGUCUGACCGAGCAACGCCGCGUGAGUGAAGAAGGUUUUCGGAUCGUAAAGCUCUGUUGUAAGAGAA